CCGUCUCCGAGCCGGAGCCCGGAAGCGCGGCCGCGCAGUCGCCAAGGGGACGACCUUUCUUCCGGUGCGCGUGGGCGUGGCUUUCGGCCCCUCGCGGCGCGGUCUCAGUGCUUGGGUCGGUGUUAGAACCAGGAGGCCAGGCCGGACGCAGACGCCACGGAUCGUUUUGGCCAUUGUUCAGGACAGGGUUCCACCUACGGGAACGGACCCACUUUCCUAGUGGAAAAUGAGCCUCUGAACGAAGGAAGGGCCUGGGCUUGUAUGGGUCAUCCUGGGCGGUGGCCAAGGGGGCAUGUCAGUUUUCUUGGGCACCCAGGAAUUUGGGCUUCCUUCUAUCAAUCAUGGAGGAGUCAGUUGGAGUGCUUAGGAGUUUGAGCUCUGAGGUCAGGGGUCUGUGCUCCACAUCUGGAAAGGAUUCGCUCCGAGGGUGGUCAGUGUCCCUCAGAGGCUGUCGCCUGGUGUGAUGAGACCCCUCCUUCCUGCCUGCAGUUAGCGCCAGGAAAACAUCUGCUUUCUGAAAGCUGUCAGUGCAUGGCUUUCCUUUUUACUCCCCUUUUCUCAGGCCAUUAUUUUGGGCAUUUUCCAUUUUCCCUAUCAGUUGGGGGUCCUGGGGAGCUGGGCGCAGGCGCAGCUGGAGGCUGGACAACCCAGCAGGGAGGCUGCCUGGAGAUAGAGGCUCCCUAUCUGCAGGCGGUAAGAACAUCAGACCCCUAUGUGAACAUAGCUCCUGCAAGCAGUCACAGUGGUGGUCUCUGGAGGUCGAUUCCAAGGGAUUGGGGGUUUCAUCUUUACUCCAUGCCCUUCUGUAUAUUCUACAUAUCCUUCAUUGCUCUUUGUAGCCGUCAAAGUGACCAAGAGUGAACAUCGUUAUUGAGGUCUAAUCUGCAAGUAGUGCUGUGUACCGUCCGGAGAAAUAGAAAGUCUGGUGGUUCACGUUCAGAAAAUAGUGUUCAGCCUUAAUUGGAUCCAACUGUAGCCUUUCCCCUUUGCUUGCCCAAUUCUAAAACUAGCAAAUUGGGUAGAUUGUACCACCGAGCACCUCCAAUCAGGGCACAGGGCCUGGCUGUGUUAGGUAUAUUAGUGGGUGGACUGCUAGUGGGGUGCGCUUGCAGUAUGGGUGUGCUGAGGGCAGGUGCCUACCCAGGGUUAUCCUGCAGUGUCCACAUUGCACAACUGCCAAGGCCAUAACAAGGCGCUGGAGAGCUACUGCAGUCCUGUGGCUGGUGGCAGAAUUGCAUGGGUAAGGUGCCAGGCUGCUCCCACUUCAGGGCCCCAGGUUAGCCUUGCCACUGUAGUGAACCUCCAGGAAAGCUGCAGUCUGGAAGCUUCUGAAGGUCCCCAGCCACACUCCUUCCUGGUUAGAGCAUCUUCCUGCUGCAGGAAUGUACCUGCUCUCCAGAAGUGCCACUGCCUGUAUCAGCCAAGCUCUCGGCCCCCGUUUGGACCUGCAUUCAUGCAGGCCGGCCUCCCUCCAGCCUUCCUUCCUUCCUUCUUCCUUUCAGCGUGCUGGAAUUGUGUGAGUGCUUCUAUGAUACAAACCUCUAGGUGUGGAAAUUCUGGGUGAAUUAUGGAAUUGUGGUAGAUUCCAACAAAAUGUUCCACAGCAUUGUACCAAAUGUCCUGGUGUGGGAAAGCCUGUGUCUUUCAGCCUCUUCUGCUGCAUGCUGCCAGGAUGAGUCACCACCGUGGGUGGAUUUUCACUCCCUCGAGGUCUUCCCUGAACAGUUUCACCUGCCUGUGGAGAGAAGCGCCUCCAGAGGCUGCCACAUUCCAGCCCCUGACCUUACCGGAGAAGGGCCUGGCUGACUCCAGCCCAUAUGACCCCUGCCAUUGCCUGCAUGUUGUGCAUGGAGGACCAGGGCCCAGGACAGAAGGAAAUGGAAGAUGUGGGAGGGUGCAGCCCCACUGACCAGAGGCCAUGCUUCACUAUUCAAGCACAGCUUGACAAGUCCCUGGACAAUCCUGUGCUACCCUUCCAUCCAAGCCCCCAGGGAGCCUGCAGCUGUGCUGAAUUACACUUGGUCACAGUGGCUAAAAAUGUGUUGAGGCUAGGCCAACUCCUCAGAUGGCAGGCCUGGUGGCUCAGGUCCCAGCCAUGUCAGCAAAGACUCGCGAACUCCCCUGCCUUAGCCCCUCCAUGCCUUAGCCCCUCCAUGCCUAUCUGAGAUGGGAAUUUUUCUUGAGUCCAGUUGUUAGGACAGAAACCCAACCCCAAACUGCUUAAACAACCAAGGGAAUUUAUGACCUAAGUGAUGAAAAGUUGAGAGGAAAGUUGGAUCUCAGGUGAGACUUGAUCCAGUAGCUCAACAAUAUUUCUGAGAACAAA